AUCGAAUGACGAACGGGAUAUUCUUCGUAUGUAGUGUGAAGGAGCAAACUUGUACUAGGCGUCUUGGUGACAGUGAUUUAAAAUUAAAUAUACAUCAAAGUCGCUUGUUGGAUCGAUGGAGCUCUCCCCGGGCAAACAGCUACCUCCCACGCCUCACUCAACGUCCUACACCCACGACCUCGAAUGGCAUUAAGGAAUAUGCAGUUUGAAACCAGGUUAUAUGGCGCUGGAUCAAUACACGUCCCGGCCAACCUGCUCCUACCCCACCUUAUCCCCCCUUCACCAUCCACGCGUUCAGAUACCAUAUAAAAAUUGUAGUUUAUGAUAAAGUUUUUGAAAAAAAUAUAUAUAUAACAAAACAAUUAAUUCAUAUACCAACAUGAUUGACUGAGACCGCUCCCUUAUAUUAGCAUAAGUAUAUAGUCACAAUUUUCGUCAUUCCAUGGAUUCACCGUGCGGGUUCCGGGUCCAUCGCGUUGCAUUGAGAGGAGCUUCAACGGUCCCUGGGACUUACGACCCAGGUGUAGGUUGAAGGGGACCCUAUCUAACGUGCUAACACUAUAAUUUGAGAAGAUUUAUCAAUGAAAAACACUAACGCUUCGUACGUAGAUGUGAUGUGACGAUGCUAACCUAGAUAAGGCAUGCUGAGAUUAAUAUUGAAAUUGCACAAACCAUUUUGUAAUUGCAACCAAAAAAAUUACAUAUUUUUGUCACAUUUAACUUCUAGUUGUGUAUUGAGCGCUCAAAGUUUAAAUGUGUCUGAUAUUUGUUACUUCUAUUAUCUAAAUAUAAAGAUGUUUACGA